GAUGAACGCUAGCGGGAGGCCUAAUACAUGCAAGUCGAACGGUAAGGUCCCUUCGGGGAUACACGAGUGGCGGACGGGUGCGUAACGCGUACGAAACAUACCUUCAACAGGGAGAUACCUCCGGGAAACUGGAAAUAAUACCCCAUAGUAUUGAGAUAUCGCAUGAUAUUUCAAUUAAAGCUUUGGCGGUUGAAGAUUGUCGUGCGUCUGAUUAGCUAGUUGGUGAGGUAACGGCUCACCAAGGCGACGAUCAGUAGCUGGUCUGAGAGGAUGAUCAGCCACACUGGAACUGAGACACGGUCCAGACUCCUACGGGAGGCAGCAGUAGGGAAUAUUGGACAAUGGGCGGAAGCCUGAUCCAGCCAUCCCGCGUGUAGGAAUAAGGCCCUAUGGGUU
rnacentral:rRNA from 1 species